GAUGAACGCUGGCGGCGUGCCUAAUACAUGCAAGUCGAGCGAAUGGAUUAAGAGCUUGCUCUUAUGAAGUUAGCGGCGGACGGGUGAGUAACACGUGGGUAACCUGCCCAUAAGACUGGGAUAACUCCGGGAAACCGGGGCUAAUACCGGAUAAUAUUUUGAACUGCAUGGUUCAAAAUUGAAAGGCGGCUUCGGCUGUCACUUAUGGAUGGACCCGGGUCGCAUUAGCUAGUUGGUGAGGUAACGGCUCACCAAGGCAACGAUGCGUAGCCGACCUGAGAGGGUGAUCGGCCACACUGGGACUGAGACACGGCCCAGACUCCUACGGGAGGCAGCAGUAGGGAAUCUUCCGCAAUGGACGAAAGUCUGACGGAGCAACGCCGCGUGAGUGAUGAAGGCUUUCGGGUCGUAAAACUCUGUUGUUAGGGAAGAACAAGUGCUAGUUGAAUAAGCUGGCACCUUGACGGUACCUAACCAGAAAGCACCGGCUAACUACGUGCCAGCAGCCGCGGUAA
rnacentral:rRNA from 1 species